UUAUUUUACCCCAUAGCCAUUUGCCAGUUAUAUUAAUUUUAACUGACCGUCCCUGUUUCGGAGGGCUACAAGCACGACAACACAGUGAAUCCUCCGAUCCCGAUGUGUUUGGUUCUCGAGAAUCCUCCAAUUUUAGGUAUUUGAGAACUUGGCUGAGGACCUGGAACUGGAUUUUGAGGACUUGUAUGAGCAACUGGAACUGGAUUUUGAGGAUUUGUUUGAGAAACUGAAUCCAAUUCAGUUUCUCCACUUUGAUUGGAUGUCUGGGUUGCGGCACUCAUUGGGAUUAAUCCAGGUUUUUCCUUGUUUGCUUACUAGUUUUCAAUUUGUUCAUAUUUUUCUGUGUAUAAUUGCAGGCUUAUAUAGAAAAAGGAGUUGAAGAAAUGGAGCUUCCAUGAAAAUUGAAUUCAGAAACAAGUCAUUUUUUUAACUGCCAUUUCUAUGAUCAUGAUCAUGUGCAAUCAAUGUAAUUAGAUCUGCAAUCAAUAUUUAGUGUAAGUGGACUAAGACUAUAAAUUAAUCACAGGUGUUAAUUUUAUUAUUAAAAGUGGACUUGGAAGUUCUUACUUUA